GUACACACCGCCCGUCGCUACUACCGAUUGAAUGGCUUAGUGAGACCUUCGGAUUGAUGUUCACCAGCCGCAAGGCAGGAGGACAACGAAAAGCUGGUCAAACUUGGUCAUUUAGAGGAAGUAAAAGUCGUAACAAGGUUUCUGUAGGUG
rnacentral:rRNA from 1 species